rnacentral:rRNA from 1 species
UCCUACGGGGGGCAGCAGUAAGGAAUCUUAGACAAUGGGGGAAACCCUGAUCUAGCCAUGCCGCGUGAUCGAUGAAGGCCUUAGGGUUGUAAAGAUCUUUCAGAUGGGAAGAUAAUGACGGUACCAUCAGAAGAAGCCCCGGCUAACUCCGUGCCAGCAGCCGCGGUAAUACGGAGGGGGCUAGCGUUAUUCGGAAUUACUGGGCGUAAAGCGCACGUAGGCGGAUCAGAAAGUCAGAGGUGAAAGCCCGGGGCUCAACCCCGGAACGGCCUUUGAAACUCCUGAUCUUGAGGUCGAGAGAGGUGAGUGGAAUUCCGAGUGUAGAGGUGAAAUUCGUAGAUAUUCGGAGGAACACCAGUGGCGAAGGCGGCUCACUGGCUCGAUACUGACGCUGAGGUGCGAAAGCGUGGGGAGCAAACAGGAUUAGAUACCCGUGUAGUCC